ensembl:lncRNA
CAGGUGUUCAACAUCAAACUGUCCCUGUCAGGCCAGGUGUUCAACAUCAAACUGUUCCUGUCAGGCCAGGUGUUCAACGUCAAACAUCAAACUGUUCCUGUCAGGCCAGGUGUUCAACAUCAAACUGAUCCUGUCAGGCCAGGUAUUCAACAUCAAACUGAUCCUGUCAGGCCAGGUCUUCAACAUCAAACAUCAAACUGUCCCUGUCAGGCCAGGUGUUCAACAUCAAACUGAUCCUGUCAGGCCAGGUGUUUAAUAUCAAACUGUUCCUGUCAGGCCAGGUGUUCAACAUCAAACUGUUCCUGUCAGGCCAGGUGUUCAACAUCAAACUGAUCCUGUCAGGCCAGGUAUUCAACAUCAAACUGAUCCUGUCAGGCCAGGUCUUCAACAUCAAACAUCAAACUGUCCCUGUCAGGCCAGGUGUUCAACAUCAAACUGAUCCUGUCAGGCCAGGUGUUCAACAUCAAACUGUUCCUGUCAGGCCAGGUGUUCAACAUCAAACAUCAAACUGUUCCUGUCAGGCCAGGUGUUCAACAUCAAACUUUUCCUGUCAGGCCAGGUGUUCAACAUCAAACUGAUCCUGUCAGGUCAGGUGUUCAACAUCAAACUGUCCCUGUCAGGCCAGGUGUUCAACAUCAAACUGAUCUUGUCAGGCCAGGUGUUCAACAUCAAACAUCAAACUGUUCCUGUCAGGCCAGGUGUUCAACAUCAAACUGUUCCUGUCAGGCCACGUGUUCAACAUCAAACAUCAAACUGUUCCUGUCAGGCCACGUGUUCAACAUCAAACAUCAAACUGUCAGGCCAGGUGUUCAACAUCAAACUGUUCCUGUCAGGCCAGGUGUUCAACAUCAAACUGUUCCUGUCAGGCCAGGUGUUCAACAUCAAACUGU